CUCGUGUAUAAAUAUACAAUUGACUUUGGUGUUGAUCUUGCAUCCUGUGAUCAGAUCUUCUGAAGACCUACCACUUAUUUACUCACUCAAUCAGUAAGUGGUGAAUUUAAAUGCUGAAACAGUACUACUCAACAUACCUUCUGUGAGUCAACUGUUAUGAGCAACACCUGGAUCUCAUUAGAAAUGCAGAAUACGAGGUCCCAUCCAAGACUCAGUGAGUAAGAAUUUCCAGAGUUGAGCCCAGGACUGUCUACCUGCUUUAACAAGCCCUCCAACAGAAUCUCCAUGUACUAGAUUUCGAGAUGUGCUAGGCUGAAGUAUGUGCAUCCUUCAGAAAUCAAAAUCUUCUGGAUUCAUUUUACAUUUAAUCGUCCUUCACUAUUUCCCUUUAGUACUAUCUCUACUAGAAAGUUCUUAGGAAAAAUAAUAAUUGUGUAAAAUGAUUGGAGUAUGGCAAAAAAACAUUGAACUUCAAGAUGGCAAAAAGCAGUUUCUUGUCCCAGUUCUUUUGUUGUCCUAUUAAAUGCUUCAUGAGAACACUUGUGCUUGAGUUUAUCUGUAACGUAUUAAUGAUGAUAUCAUAUGACUACCUGUCUGGAGCUGUCAACAGAAACAAAUGAGGUGGUCCACG
rnacentral:lncRNA from 10 species